GAUGAACGCUAGCUACAGGCUUAACACAUGCAAGUCGAGGGGCAUCAGUUUGGUUUGCUUGCAAACCAAAGCUGGCGACCGGCGCACGGGUGAGUAACACGUAUCCAACCCGCCUCAUACUCGGGGAUAGCCUUUCGAAAGAAAGAUUAAUAUCCGAUAGCAUAUAUUUCCCGCAUGGGUUUUAUAUUAAAGAAAUUCGGUAUGAGAUGGGGAUGCGUUCCAUUAGUUUGUUGGGGGGGUAACGGCCCACCAAGACUACGAUGGAUAGGGGUUCUGAGAGGAAGGUCCCCCACAUUGGAACUGAGACACGGUCCAAACUCCUACGGGAGGCAGCAGUGAGGAAUAUUGGUCAAUGGACGCGAGUCUGAACCAGCCAAGUAGCGUGAAGGAUGACUGCCCUAUGGGUUGUAAACUUCUUUUAUAUGGGAAUAAAGUUGUCCACGUGCGGAUUUUUGUAUGUACCAUAUGAAUAAGGAUCGGCUAACUCCGUGCCAGCAGCCGCGGUAAUACGGAGGAUCCGAGCGUUAUCCGGAUUUAUUGGGUUUAAAGGGAGCGUAGGCGGAUUGUUAAGUCAGUUGUGAAAGUUUGCGGCUCAACCGUAAAAUUGCAGUUGAUACUGGCAGUCUUGAGUGCAGUAGAGGUGGGCGGAAUUCGUGGUGUAGCGGUGAAAUGCUUAGAUAUCACGAAGAACUCCGAUUGCGAAGGCAGCUCACUGGAGUGUAACUGACGCUGAUGCUCGAAAGUGUGGGUAUCAAACAGG
rnacentral:rRNA from 1 species